CCUGGCUCACUUAUCGUACCAUCUGCGCUGUCGUUGUUGGGCCGCUGGGAGGUUGUCGCGUACGGUCUGGGUCAGCACCUCCAGGCGUUCCCUAAACUCUAGCACAUAGGGUACGAUGGGUGUGCCGUUAAUAGUCCCUUCUCCCUCCCAGUGUUCCCGGAUUAAAUCAAGGGGGCCCCUCACUCUCCUCCCGAAUAACAGUUCAAAAGGAGAGAACCCGGUGGAUUCUUGGGGUACUUCCCUAUAGGCGAAUAACAAGUGGGGUAAAAA